UAGGGAAUCUUCCACAAUGGGCGAAGGCCUGAUGGAGCAACGCCGCGUGUGUGAUGAAGGGUUUCGGCUCGUAAAACACUGUUGUAAGAGAAGAAUGACAUUGAGAGUAACUGUUCAAUGUGUGACGGUAUCUUACCGGAAAGGAACGGCUAAAUACGUGCCAG
rnacentral:rRNA from 1 species